CACGGAACUACUAAAACAGAUCGAUUAAUCACUAAAUAAUAAACUCACAUUAUACCAGAAAACCUGGAUCCCCACCAGCCCCCACCCCCACUCCAUGGUUCAAAAUCACCAUCACCACGAGGACUCCGACCAUCACCAUGAGCCCCAUCACCACCAUUCUCGUCCUUUCAACUCUUCAAACACGAAUUUAUACAUUUUUAAUUAUAAUUUUUAAUGAAUCAAUUAAUGCCCCCCUAUUUGUAAUAAAUUGACGAGUUCGGUGGUAGUCGGAACCUAUGAUGGUGGCUGGGAAUCGGUGGUGGUGGCGUUGAUUGGAAGUUGAUGUGUAUAUACGUAUGAAUCUGGUAUUGGGUGUGUGUAAUAUUUAGUGAUUAAUCUGGUGUUUUUAGUGAUUCCGUGUCCUGUUGGGUCUGGUUUUUAGUUUGUAGGUGAGAAUUGGUUUGUAGUAGAGUAAGAC
rnacentral:lncRNA from 1 species